CCCCUCUCAGGGUCACACCUGGAGAGUUUGCAGUACUCUACCAGUCUCGGCUACAGGAGGGAGAGUCAAGCAGAGGCCUGUACAUUCAAUUCCUAGCUUGGGCAGUGACUAGAAAAUGGAAGGCAAUCUGCUACAAGU